rnacentral:rRNA from 1 species
AACGAACGCUGGCGGCGCGCCUAAUACAUGCAAGUCGAGCGAGAAGGUGUAGCAAUACACUUGUAAAGCGGCGAACGGGUGAGGAAUGCAUGGGUAACCUACCCUCGAGUGGGGAAUAACUAGCCGAAAGGUUAGCUAAUACCGCAUACGUUUCCGGAACUUCGGUUUCGGAAAGAAAGCAAUACCGUGGGUAUUGCGCUCCUGGAUGGGCUCAUGUCCUAUCAGCUUGUUGGUGAGGUAACGGCUCACCAAGGCUUCGACGGGUAGCUGGUCUGAGAGGACGAUCAGCCACACUGGCACUGCGACACGGGCCAGACUCCUACGGGAGGCAGCAGUAAGGAAUAUUGCGCAAUGGACGAAAGUCUGACGCAGCGACGCCGCGUGGGGGAUGAAGGUCUUCGGAUUGUAAACCCCUUCGGGAGGGAAGAUGGAGUGGGUAACCACUUGGACGGUACCUCCAGAAGCAGCCACGGCUAACUUCGUGCCAGCAGCCGCGGUAA